rnacentral:rRNA from 1 species
AUUGAACGCUGGCGGCAUGCCUUACACAUGUAAGUCGAACGGCAGCACGGGAGCAAUCCUGGUGGCGAGUGGCGAACGGGUGAGUAAUAUAUCGGAACGUGCCCAGUCGUGGGGAUAACGUAGCGAAAGCUACGCUAAUACCGCAUACGAUCUAUGGAUGAAAGCGGGGGAUCGCAAGACCUCGCGCGAUUGGAGCGGCCGAUAUCAGAUUAGGUAGUUGGUGAGGUAAAGGCUCACCAAGCCGACGAUCUGUAGCUGGUCUGAGAGGACGACCAGCCACACUGGGACUGAGACAGGCCCAGACUCCUACGGGAGGCAGCAGUGGGGAAUUUUGGACAAUGGGCGCAAGCCUGAUCCAGCAAUGCCGCGUGCAGGAUGAA